UAAGGAAUAUUGGACAAUGGGCGCAAGCCUGAUCCAGCCAUGCCGCGUGAAGGAUGAAGGCCCUAUGGGUCGUAAACUUCUUUUAUACGGGAAAAACCCCCCGAUGCGUCGGGGGUUGGAUGGUACUGUAAGAAUAAGGGUCGGCUAACUUCGUGCCAGCAGCCGCGGUAAUACGAAAGACCCAAGCGUUAUCCGGAUUUAUUGGGUUUAAGGGUGCGUAGGCGGACUAAUAAGUCAGUGGUGAAAGCCUGAUGCUUAACAUCAGAAUUGCCAUUGAUACUGUUAGUCUUGAGUAUGGUUGAGGUGGGCGGAAUGUGUCAUGUAGCGGUGAAAUGCUUAGAUAUGACACAGAACACCAAUUGCGAAGGCAGCUCGCUAAACCAUAACUGACGCUGAGGCACGAAAGCGUGGGGAGCAAACAGGAUUAGAUACCCUGGUAGUCCACGCCCUAAACGAUGAUAACUCGUUG
rnacentral:rRNA from 1 species